rnacentral:rRNA from 1 species
AGUGAACGCUGGCGGUAGGCCUAACACAUGCAAGUCGAACGGCAGCACAGUAAGAGCUUGCUCUUACGGGUGGCGAGUGGCGGACGGGUGAGGAAUACAUCGGAAUCUACUUUUUCGUGGGGGAUAACGUAGGGAAACUUAUGCUAAUACCGCAUACGACCUACGGGUGAAAGCAGGGGAUCUUCGGACCUUGCGCGAUUGAAUGAGUCGAUGUCGGAUUAGCUAGUUGGCGGGGUAAAGGCCCACCAAGGCGACGAUCCGUAGCUGGUCUGAGAGGAUGAUCAGCCACACUGGAACUGAGACACGGUCCAGACUCCUAGGGGAGGCAGCAGUGGGGAAUAUUGGACAAUGGGCGAAAGCCUGAUCCAGCCAUACCGCGUAGGUGAAGAAGGCCUUCGGGUUGUAAAGCCCUUUUGUUGGGAAAGAAAAGCAGCAGGUUAAUACCCCGCUGUUCUGACGGUACCCAAAGAAUAAGCACCGGCUAACUUCGUG